GUGAAAUCGCCUACCAAAUUACUGAGUACAGUGGGGAUUCAAACCUUGGAAAAUGUUCAAAGACCAACCAGGUUUUGAGGAAGAAUACAAAAUGACACCACCACUGAAGAUGAACUUUGGUAGAGGACAAAGCUAGUGGCUCGGACUCUCCUUUGCCAAACUUCAAUGAAAUGGACAAUUCAUAAAAGCCCCAGAAGUAAGGGAGAGAUAAAAACAAAAGAGAGGGAAGAAAGUUAAAUACUGUUUAGUAUGUCCUCUAUCAAUGGAAACCUGCCAAGAGUCUUGACCUCCUCUGUAUACCUGCUAUUAAAAGCAAUG